rnacentral:rRNA from 1 species
UACGUAUGGUGCAAGCGUUAUCCGGAUUUACUGGGUGUAAAGGGAGCGCAGGCGGUGCGGCAAGUCUGAUGUGAAAACCCGGGGCUCAACCCCGGUACUGCAUUGGAAACUGUCGUACUAGAGUGUCGGAGGGGUAAGCGGAAUUCCUAGUGUAGCGGUGAAAUGCGUAGAUAUUAGGAGGAACACCAGUGGCGAAGGCGGCUUACUGGACGAUAACUGACGCUGAGGCUCGAAAGCGUGGGGAGCAAACAGG